rnacentral:rRNA from 1 species
CCCUGGCUCAGGACGAACGCUGGCGGCGUGCCUAAUACAUGCAAGUCGAGCGAAUCAAUAGGAGCUUGCUCCUGUUGGUUAGCGGCGGACGGGUGAGUAACACGUGGGCAACCUGCCUGUAAGACUGGGAUAACACCGGGAAACCGGUGCUAAUACCGGAUAAUCCUUUUCCUCUCAUGAGGAAAAGCUGAAAGUCGGUUUCGGCUGACACUUACAGAUGGGCCCGCGGCGCAUUAGCUAGUUGGUGAGGUAACGGCUCACCAAGGCGACGAUGCGUAGCCGACCUGAGAGGGUGAUCGGCCACACUGGGACUGAGACACGGCCCAGACUCCUACGGGAGGCAGCAGUAGGGAAUCUUCCACAAUGGACGAAAGUCUGAUGGAGCAACGCCGCGUGAGCGAUGAAGGCCUUCGGGUCGUAAAGCUCUGUUGUUAGGGAAGAACAAGUACCGGAGUAACUGCCGGUACCUUGACGGUACCUAACCAGAAAGCCACGGCUAACUA